AUGUGCCGUGUAGGGUGGCCCCAGGCACCUGGCUUGCACCAGCGGGCAGGGCCACUAUGCCUCUCCCCUUGGAGGACGCCAGAGGCUCCAGGCAGAACAGGGCAAGAAGAGUGGGUAUCACUGCCAAGUCACAGAGCAGGUGCUCAGCCAGACCAGAACCUCCUCUUCAAAGCAACAGCCAGUGACAGCGGAGACAGUGUAGGUUUCACUGGCCGGGAGCCACCUGGCCACCCACCGACCCACUUGCGGGCGGGCGAGGGCCUGGCCUCCACGUGGGCAGAGCCCAGCUGCUGCUUGGCCUUCCCACUCUCGGGCUAGGAGCACUCCUCAGCGACACAGCUUUGGCCAGCGGGGGCCGCUUCCACAGUGAGCUUGCCGCGCCCGUGUCCAGAGCGGGAGAGGAGCGCAUGCAGAGGGCUCCGGCCCAGGGCCAGUCACAGCGUCGUCUGGCUGCCUCAGCAGCUCCCAGGACAGCCACUUCAUUCAACCUCCUGCAGAAAACUGUGUGGUCUUUGACCAUGAGUCAGAGUUCACUGUGAUCCAGGUGUUUCUGAGUGUGUGUAAGCGCUGGAAUCCAUGGAAAUGACAUUGUCCCCCUUGCCCGGCCCGCAAUAGGGUCAGGGUAGUCAGCCCAGGCCAGGGGCCGCGGCAGUAGCCACAAAGGCAAAAGACAGCCACCACCUGGGCCUGUGACUCGGAAGGGGUUCCCUCUGCCUCACUCCAGGCGCCCUCCUCCCUGCAACACUCUUCAGGUGACUGUCCCCCUCCCCAGCCGCAGUGGGGCUCCUUCCCUGUGAUCCCAGACACCAAACCUGAGUGGAGCCUCACCUGGUCCUCACCACAUCCCAGUGCUUGGGGCUCAGUGAACACUGAGCUCAGUGAGCCUCCUCCCGCCUCCCGAGUCCUCCUGGGAGCUUCUGAAGUCUGGCAACGCCACACCCGUGAGCCCCGACCCCACAUUUCUGGGCAGCACCAAGCAGCCCUGCGACCAAGCAGCCAGGGUAGCGUGUGGAGGGAAGGGUGUAAGACUGAGAAGGGGGUCAGCAGCCAGCAGCCCCUCCUGCCCCCCAACAGUAAACGCCUCUGGGUUUGUUAGUGAGUGAUGCCUUAGUCUCCCCCAAAACAUGGAUGCCAUGGCAGGUGCAUCCUGACCCCAGCCCCAUACAAGCACAGACACCCUGACUGGGCAUUGGGGUGGGUGGGGGUCCUUCCAGUCCUAAAAGAAGGGUGUGCCUGGUGGGUCACCCUAGUCUGUACUGCCCCAGAGGCUAGAGGUUAGAGGGUCAGAGGUCACUGAUGCCUCCAGGACUGACUUCCAGAUGCCCUACCAGGGCCCAGGAGAACCAGACCAACUCCUCACUGCCCCAUCGGGACAUGAGCCUGCCUGGUGAAGAUGCCCCCAUCCCCAGCACAGCUCUUUCGGGGCAGGAGGCCAGACUGAGCUUGGCUGGGGAGUGGACUGGGGUAGACUGUGGACUCAGAACCCCACCGCAAGGGACUUCAGGUUGCUCCACUGGGACCCCCUGUGUGGUGGCCUCACAGGGCCAGCACCCCCUGCAGCCCUCCGUGGCAGCCACUCUUCUGGCCAUGCCCACCCCUGGAGGAUAGCCUUUGUGUCUAAAGCCCAGACCUUGGGCUGGAGCAAGCCGGAGAGCCAGCAGCCCUGGGGACAGGCCCUUUGUGAUGGGAGCUUACGCGGAGCUGCCAGAGUUUGCGAUGGAAAACAGUUGGGCCCUUUGGGAUCUCCGCUGGCGGGGCUAAUUAAGGGGGGGCUGUGCUUCCUUGAGGGACCUUCCGUGGGGGGUGCCCUCGGCCUACUUCCCCAAACAGGGGCUGGAGUCCUGCUCCUCCCCGCCCGCGGCCGUGGCCCCCAGGCCCUCCCAAACCCCAAUGUUCAGUCCUGCGUUGUUUAGCCAAGAGUUCUGAAAUGAGGGUGAGCAGGGGUGGCCACGGCCUUGGCCCCGACCAGCCCCCUGCCCUCCAGGAGGGCUCCGCUGCUCAACAGCCUCCCUCCCCCAGCGUGUGAGUCUAUGUGACCAAUGCCGGUCCUGUUCUGUGGCCUCCUGCCCUCGGGGUGUUGCCGGGGGUCCCCAAGGGAGGGAUUCUGAAAGAUUCAGGCAGACGGGACCCCUCCAUUGCUGCCACGGCUCAGGGCUGGGGGCCCAGAGCUGAGAGGGGCAGGUCCAGGCUCGGCUCUCAGUUCACCGGAGCCGUGGCUGUCGCCAGGGCCAUCCCUGGGGCAGAGCAGAGGCUGCGGGGGGUGACCUCACUGCCCCCCCCCCCAGUCCUCAUCGGCAAGAUGGUGCCCAGGGGCCGGGACAGUGGCUGCCGCCCCGGGGGCCUCCCAGCCGCCGGCCUACACACUUGGCUGCAGCCCCUGCAGCUCUGCUCCCUGGUUUUGUUGAAGCUGGGCCCCGGCGGGCGGGCGGGGGCAGGAAUGUGUGCGGGCCAGCCGCCCGCCCGCUGCUGCGUCAUGUCG
ensembl:lncRNA